UACGAAGGGGGCUAGCGUUGCUCGGAAUUACUGGGCGUAAAGCGCACGUAGGCGGCUUUCUAAGUCGGGGGUGAAAUCCUGGAGCUCAACUCCAGAACUGCCUUCGAUACUGCCGUGCUUGAGGACUGGAGAGGAGACUGGAAUUUACGGUGUAGCGGUGAAAUGCGUAGAUAUCAGGAGGAACACCAAUGGCGAAGGCAGCACUCUGGGACGUGACUGACGCUGAGACGCGAAAGCGUGGGGAGCAAACAGG
rnacentral:rRNA from 1 species